UUAGCCCCUUUUCUUCCUCUAAAAUAAACGUCUAUUUGUUUUUUUUUCUUUUUCGAAAUUAUAAAAAAAAAAUUCUCGAGUGAAGAGAUCAUUUUGCAAAUUUGUUGUAAUGAGAAAAAAUAUUUUGUGUGGUCUGUCAGACAACCGUGUGACCACCCCACCGCAGUUGAUACGGCGAGAACGAUCCUCCACUGCCACAGAUGGAAACCUCCAAGGAGGACUCGAUCUGGACCAUUAAUCACGCUCUGAUCACACGGUCAUGAUUCAUCAACCAGACUGCGGUUCCUGUCUCCUUAGAACUCAAGGAUACAGUUGUACGAGCCUAUAGAACAGAUCCUGUUCAAGUAAGGUCGUGCUCUAUUCUUUCACUCUUUGAUUAUAUGAACGCUCGUGUCUUGCUAAGAACAAGCGAUGUAGGACUAACUUUGCUUCCCUUGAACCUCAUCGGUUACUCUCUCUCUUUCUGGAAUUGUAUUUAUUGAUUUAAGAUCCCCCACCCAAUAUAUAUGUCAAUAAUGAAAUGAUGGAGAUAGUAAUGUUUUAUAAAAUGAUGUUGUAUUUUUGGUGCAUUAUCAGGUAAAUAGCAUGAGAAAGAUUGUACACCAGUUAAAAUUGCUGUAGAAAACUUGACUGGUGGUCCUAAACCUUUCUCGUCAUUUCUCAUAUCAUAUUAUUAAUAACCUUAAUUGUCGCAUUGUUCCAGCCUAUAAGAACUGCAUAAUCAUUAUUUGUCUCCUGUUCUUAUCAGUUUAAUAUCUGAUACAUGGACUAAUAGUCCAUUUGAAUUAAAUCAAUUUUUAUAGGGAGAGACCAGAGAGUCCAUAGUGGUAGUUCUCAUGUGUCACCUUUGUCUUGCACUAUAGCAUAGUUUGGUACAUUCAUCCCACCCAAAUCAGUUCAAAUUAUUCUUCGAUGUUAGAUUAGCAUUUAAGAAUUCAAAAAAUGGUGUUGAUGGAUUAUAGGGUUCUGUUGUGACAGAAUACAAAGUGUGACCCAUUGAUGCUUUGUUAUUAUUCACAUUAGGUUCUUUAGUAGAAGAUCAAUCUUCAAUCUUAUGUAUGAACAAUUCUGUUAUGAAAUUCUACCUAAAAUUAAAGCUUACAAUGGUGGCAUAUAUCUAUCUGAAAUAUCAAAACAAAUUAAUUGAAUGCUCAAUUCAGUUUUAUGGUUGAUCUUGAAUAUUGAUGCUAGACUGUUAUACUGUUAUAACAGGAACAAAUGGAAACCUGAAAGCGAGUGAAUCUGGGCCAUUAAUCACACUCUGAUAACACGGUCUUGGUUCAUCGACCAUGUCUUUGGUUCCUUAAAACUCAAGGAUAAGCGGUUAAAGCAUAUAGAACUGAUCUUUUUUUCCAACUAUCAUGAAUUAAGAUGUGAACCCCAUACACUCAACUUGCACAAGUGGAAGGAGAUCAUAACUGAGUCCCUGAGAUACUAGUGAAUUUAUUAAUGAAUGUAUGUAGUUACACAAGAUAGGUCUUCACAUUUUCUUUAUAGUUUUUUUCAUAUGAAAUAAACCAAUGAUUCCCAUAUCGUGUAUACUUUUGUGCUUGUGAAACCUUAUAUAUAUAUAUAUAUAUAUUCUUGUUUCCAAA